GGAGAUUUAGCUCAAAGGUAGAGCGCUUGCCUAGCAAGCGCAAGGUCCUGGGUUCGGUCCCCAGCUCUG
rnacentral:tRNA from 1 species